CAAGUUCUGAAAUCGGAAAUCAAUGGACAAAUGACUUGAAUGCAUGAUCUGCAUUGUGGUUGUUUUGCUUGCUGCUGUGUUGUUGUAGUUGUUGUUUUGACUGGUGAGGGGGUAAGGGAGUUGGGUAGGGAAGAGAGAGUGGGGCGUAAUAUAAAAGUACAUUUAAAAUUGAGUACUUGCUAUGUUGUAUAAUUAAUACGUAAGUUA